rnacentral:tRNA from 1 species
GGUGAUAUAGUUUAAGGGGAAAACAGUUAUUUCAUAUGUAAUAAGAUAAAGGUUCAAAUCCUUUUUUCACCU